GACGAACGCUGGCGGCGUGCUUAACACAUGCAAGUCCAACGGAAAGGCCCUGCUUUUGUGGGGUGCUCGAGUGGCGAACGGGUGAGUAACACGUGAGUAACCUGCCCUUGACUUUGGGAUAACUUCAGGAAACUGGGGCUAAUACCGGAUAGGAGCUCCUGCUGCAUGGUGGGGGUUGGAAAGUUUCGGCGGUUGGGGAUGGACUCGCGGCUUAUCAGCUUGUUGGUGGGGUAGUGGCUUACCAAGGCUUUGACGGGUAGCCGGCCUGAGAGGGUGACCGGCCACAUUGGGACUGAGAUACGGCCCAGACUCCUACGGGAGGCAGCAGUGGGGAAUAUUGCACAAUGGGCGGAAGCCUGAUGCAGCAACGCCGCGUGCGGGAUGACGGCCUUCGGGUUGUAAACCGCUUUCGCCUGUGACGAAGCGUGAGUGACGGUAAUGGGUAAAGAAGCACCAGCUAACUACGUG
rnacentral:rRNA from 1 species